CCUACGGGAUGCACCAGUGGGGAAUUUUCCGCAAUGGGCGAAAGCCUGACGGAGCAAUACCGCGUGAGGGAGGAAGGCUCUUGGGUCGUAAACCUCUUUUCUCAGGGAAGAAAAAAUGACGGUACCUGAGGAAUCAGCAUCGGCUAACUCCGUGCCAGCAGCCGCGGUAAUACGGAGGAUGCAAGCGUUAUCCGGAAUGAUUGGGCGUAAGCGUCCGCAGGUGGCACAUCAAGUCUGCUGUCAAAGCCCGCAGCUUAACUGGGAAGAGGCGGUGGAAACUGGUGAGCUAGAGAGCAAUAGGGGUAGAGGGAAUUCCCGGUGUAGCGGUGAAAUGCGUAGAGAUCGGGAAGAACACCAGUGGCGAAAGCGCUCUACUAGGUUGCAACUGACACUGAGGGACGAAAGCUAGGGGAGCGAAUGGGAUUAGAUACCCCCGUAGUC
rnacentral:rRNA from 1 species